CCCUUAGAUGUUCUGGGCCGCACGCGCGCUACACUGAUGCAUUCAACGAGCCUAUCCCUGACCGACAGGUCCGGGUAAUCUUUGAAUCUGCAUCGUGACGGGGAUAGAUUAUUGCAAUUAUUAAUCUUCAACGAGGAAUGCCUAGUAGGCGCAAGUCAUCAGCUUGCGUCGAUUACGUCCCCGCCCUUUGUACACACCGCCCGUCGCUCCUACCGAUUGGGUGUGCUGGUGAAAUGUUCGGAUCGGCCGUUUGUCGCGGUUUCCGCGUCAUGUGGCUGAGAAGUUCAUUAAACCCUCCCACCUAGAGGAAGGAGAAGUCGUAACA
rnacentral:rRNA from 1 species